rnacentral:rRNA from 1 species
CGAACGGGUGAGUAACGCGUGAGGAACCUGCCUCAAAGAGGGGGACAACGGUUGGAAACGACUGCUAAUACCGCAUAAGCCCACGGCUCGGCAUCGAGCAGAGGGAAAAGGAGCAAUCCGCUUUGAGAUGGCCUCGCGUCCGAUUAGCUAGUUGGUGAGGUAACGGCCCACCAAGGCGACGAUCGGUAGCCGGACUGGGAGGUUGAACGGCCACAUUGGGACUGAGACACGGCCCAG